UGUCUAUAAUCUGUUGACAGCCAUAAUCGUAUUCUGAUAAUACACGUUGGUGCUCAAAUAUUUUCAGAUGGCCCGUGCAAAGUCAUGCCACCAGUCUGAGGACAUCACUGGGAAUGGCACAUGGGACACGUGGCUUUCAACUCCAGCGAGACCCAAGUCGACUGGACCACAGCGGAAAAUGAUCCUUCCAGAGAAGAAGUUAUUUACUUCUACAACGAAUGGAAGAGUUACAACUUCCAGAUGACAGCUCGCCGCUCAUCCUUCUGGGCAACUUGAACAUCCGACAGAACUUAUGUGACCUACUGCGUUUAUUUUCUCCUUUAGCUCUCACUAACUCUAACUUGCCCCAGCACCUGUUGUGAUUUAUUCUAGCGCUUCCACAAUUGAAUUUUGCUUGGUAUUUCAUCUAACUUGCCCCAGCACCUGUUGUGAUUUAUUCUAGCGCUUCCACAAUUGAAUUUUGCUUGUUAUUUUAUCUAACUUGCCCCAGCACCUGUUGUGAUUAAUUCUCUCUCACGGUGUCAAGUGUGUACCUUGAUCUUUUUUUUGCUCAUUGCAGCCCUUCUCUGCAAGGAGUGCUAACAAUGCAUGGUGCUGUUCAUUAAGCAACUGGGUAAAGAGCUUGUAAUGCCACAUAUGAAAAAGCUCAUAAGCUCAUUUAUAAUAAAAUAAUAUAUAUAAUCUUG